rnacentral:rRNA from 1 species
UGCGUAGGCGGCAUGUCAAGCCAGAGGUGAAAGGCAUUGGCUCAACCAAUGUAAGCCUUUGGAACUGACGCGCUUGAGUACAGGAGAGGUAAGUGGAAUUCCUAGUGUAGAGGUGAAAUUCGUAGAUAUUAGGAGGAACACCAGUGGCGAAGGCGACUUACUGGACUGUAACUGACGCUGAGGCACGAAAGCGUGGGAGGCAAACA